UGAACGGAAUAUGUUAGCUUGCUAAUAUAUUUAGUACCAAAUGGGUGAGUAACACGUACCUAACCUACCUUUUGGACCGGGAUAACCAUUGGAAACAGCGGCUAAUACCGGAUAUAAUAAAAAAAUGCAUGUUUUUUUAUCAAAAGAAGCCUUUAAAGCUUCACCAAAAAAUGGGGGUGCGCAACAUUAGUUAGUUGGUAGGGUAAAGGCCCACCAAGACGAUGAUGUUUAGCGGGGCCAAGAGGCUGUACCGCCACACUGGGAUUGAGAUACGGCCCAGACUCCUACGGGAGGCAGCAGUAAGGAAUAUUCCACAAUGAGCGAAAGCUUGAUGGAGCGACACAGAGUGCAGGA
rnacentral:rRNA from 1 species